UGCAUCCUUAUUGUGAAUAUACAAUCAGAUUGCCCUAAACAUUUUUCCAAACACCCAGCUGCAACCGACUCCUCUGCCCCCAUGCCAACGACGACCGCUGACCGCCGACCGCUGCUCGCCUGGCGACCGCUGCUCUCCUCGCCGACCCCUGAACGCCGUUGCCUUCUCCGCCCAACGCAGCUGCCUGCUCCGCCGUGCCCAUCGACUGCUUCGCCGAAAGCCUACCGUCCUGCUCCGCCUACCGUCGCCGCUCCGCCUUCUGUCGUCGCUCUCCCUAUUGCCGUCGCUCCGCCUACCGCCGCCGCUGCCUGUUUGGAAUUGAAAAGCAACCAACAAGUGUUAAGAAUCUGUGAUAUAAGAGGGCACAGGAGGACAUAAGUUGGCUACUGGCUACUUGGCUAGAAACUUUUAGCAGGUUUUCAUCAAGUACGGAGAGAUAGUUGAUUCUGUAAUAAGUAGGUAGAAGUAAAGAGGACUGUACCUAGGGAGGACAUGCCACUCAGAGGAAUUUCAAAAACAAAGAAAAUAUUUAUUGGUGGUAUUCCACUCUCUCUAACUGAAGCAGGUGGGUUCUCGUUCGGAAGCAACUAAAAGAAACACAGAAGGAUUAUGAUUGAUUGCUGCUCGAUUUGAAACUAUUGGAAAAAAAUCAAAUCGGAAAGCUAACAAUAGUCUAUUACUGUUUUUAGAUAGAGAACUUUCUUGCUCCUGUAAAUGAUUUAUGUAAUUUAAUCUGUAUGUUUAAAAUUUUCAUUUCUGUAUUUGAUAACAAUACUUUUGUUAAUGCUAUUGAGAUGAAUUUUAUAAUAUAAUAUAUUUUAUAAUUA